rnacentral:lncRNA from 1 species
UCUUCCCAAUAAACUGACCACAGAUGUUACAUAUAGAUUAUCUGAUAAGAUAGUCAACAUUUUGGCAUUUUCUGUCUUUUCUUGAAAAAUUUCUACUACAUGUAACAUUAUCUAUGUGUAUAUUCUUCAUAAGAUUUUGACAAUCAAGUCACUGUUUUUUUUUAUCAACUUCAUGCUCAAAUACAGUUAAAGGAAUAUAAAAUAAAGUUCUGAAUAUUUUUUUUUUAAUGCUAAUUGAAUAGAUUGAUAAUUGAUGUCAUUUUGAAGAUUAAUUUUAUUAAGAAAUGAAUGUUUGUU